AUGUAGCAUGCUCUGAGGGAGGGUGUUGUUUUAGAUGAGGUGUUUCCGUUUUUGUUCGUGCGGUUUGGGUUGCUCCGUUGAUGGCUUGCGAUUUCAAUCUUCUUUCCAGCGAGGUGAUCUUUCGCGAUUAGGGUUUGUGCGGAUGAGUUUUGGGGCUCGCGAUGGUGCUGUUUUUGUUUCGUGGUGGUGCGACUCUGGUGCAGAGAUCUGGUUCGCGUUGUGAUGGAGCUCACGAGGUGGUUCAGUGAGGAUGAUGCGAGCUCACAAUGGUUUUUCCAGUGCUGGUGGCUGUUGCGAGAUGCAUUGGAGGUGAACGGAGGACCGACGAGGUUCUGAUGGUGUUCCUGCGGUGGUUGAACGACGUGGUGACUGACUAUGGAUUUAGGGUUUUGGUGGGUUGUUCUGAUGUAGUCAGAUGGGAAGUCGAAGAUGAUGAUGUGGUUUCCUAACGAACCCUAACGGUGAAUUUUUAGAAGUCCUAACGGUGAAUCGAGGUCGCUCUCUCCCAACGAUGGAUCUGCUACAGUCAGAGAGCCCAUGCAAAUAGUUCGAUUGCUCAUUCCAAUCGAAUCAGCUUAUCGAUCCAUCUCUUACCUCGGCGAUCUCAGCCUUUUCCAAUUUAAAGACGUGCGACUCCUCUUCAGUUCUCAUUGCUCUUGUUUUAGAUUCUUUUACACUGAAUCUUGAAACCUACAUUGCUAUGACAUUUGAUGCUCUGAUUCACUUUUUUUCGUUGUGUUUUGAUGGCUUCAUCUAUCUGAAUGCUAUUUGUUUCUUACAUUGGUAACUAUUUAUUUAAUUUUUUUUGUCAGUAUUAUGUCUUUCACGAA
rnacentral:sRNA from 1 species